rnacentral:rRNA from 1 species
UUUUCCUACGGGGGGCAGCAGUGGGGGAUAUUGCACAAUGGGGGGAACCCUGAUGCAGCGACGCCGCGUGGGUGAAGAAGCGCCUCGGCGCGUAAAGCCCUGUCAGCAGGGAAGAAAAUGACGGUACCUGAAGAAGAAGCCCCGGCUAACUACGUGCCAGCAGCCGCGGUAAUACGUAGGGGGCAAGCGUUAUCCGGAUUUACUGGGUGUAAAGGGAGCGCAGGCGGCCUGGCAAGCCUGAUGUGAAAUACCGGGGCCCAACCCCGGGGCUGCAUUGGGAACUGCCAGGCUGGAGUGCCGGAGAG